rnacentral:pre_miRNA from 1 species
CAAGUACUCCCUCAGUUCGGAAUUACUUGUCGCAGAAAUGAAUGUAUCUAGAUGUAUUUUAGUUCUAGAUACAUCCAUUUUCACGACAAGUAAUUCCGAACGGAGGGAGUAGGUC